AUGUUUUUAGGAAGCUCGGAAGCUUGAAUUUUUGAACUGUUUUGACCAUGUCCCCAGUGAAAAAUACCAUGAUUAGGGAAAUGGCAGAAACAGUGUGUUUUUCCCCAAUCUGUUCCAUUGAUGUUGUUUUUCUUUUUCUUGUUUUCUUCUAAAGGUCAGUGAAAUUUUCUGUUGCAUAAAUUUUAUUGACUUUACUCAUUGCAGUCAGGCUUGUGAGGGAGAUUCUGAGACUCUGGGCACCAUCAGUGCCAGAAAGUCAGAAGAAACCCUCCUCCCACAUGAGUGGGAAUAAUGGUGACCCAGCUUUUGAGAGACCUCACUGAAUUGAAUUCCUUGAAAAAUAUACCCUUGGGCUGUGGUUGCUGAGCACUUGAGAACACAUAUGAUUGAUGACACGGUCAUUAGGAGCAUGAUUAAGAGCAGCCAGGAUUUCCAUUUACCACCUUGGCCUUUUGCAGUGCCUGCUACUCAGGCCUGCUCUCAGGACCACCACUGCUGUGCACAAUGGCUGUGAGGGGGCCUGGGAGCUGUGAUUAAUUCAGCUGGCAACAUGAUGCUGGCUCUCUUCUUUGAUUGCUGCUGAUGAAUAGUAUUUUAAAAGCUAAGAAUGCAUUAAGCGCUUUGCUAUAGCUCCUCUGCAGUCUGAGGGCCAGCAGCACAGCUGUGCUCCGUUCACAGUGGGUGCAGCUCAAGAACCAAGAGGAAGGAAGCGAGACAGCUUUUAGCUUGACUUGAAUUGUGGAUUCUGCUUAUUUUGGGAAGUGUCUGGGGGCACAGGCACCAGUCUCCCAGUGCUGAGAGCAGGGAGGGUGCUGCUGAUGGGGUUUUGGGCCUCAGCAGGAUUCACAUUCUCCUGUUCUCGCUGCUUUGGCAUGUUAAAAUAACAAGUUGUUGCUCAAGCAGUGGGAAGCAAAUAAAGCAGAGCUCACACGCCAGCUGAGACUAAGACAAGGCACUGCAUGGAUCUCUGGUCAAGAACAGAAGAGCUGCAUCUUGGAAGAAAGGUGCUGCUGCUCUCAGGAUGUGCCCCAGCAAGAAGAGAGAAUGAGCACCUUGAGCUCGAGCGCUGCCGACUGCAGGGUGGCUGGAGUUGGGUGUUCUGCUCACAGGCAGAAGAAAACCACUUCAAGACAUCAAGAAGAGCCAACUGAGCCUAAUCCCAUUUUCCCUAGGACCUGGCAGCCAUUCAGGACUGCUUCUAUUGUAUUUACGUGGAAUUUGGUCACCUGUGGCUUCAGGCAGCCCAAAUCUCUCAGGAUGUGCAGGACAGGGAUGUGUUCCCGUUUCACACGAGGCCUCACGCUGAGGCUCCACAGUUGGCAUCAGUGCCCAAGAGCAGAUCUACAGUAUGAAUGUCCUUCCUGGAGGUAUUUCUGCAGAUGUGGAAGAAGGACCAACCCAGCUGAUUGUGGGGGAUUACAGCUAUUAACCAGGUUGCCAUGAAGUGUCGGAGCUGCCUGGAAGGCCAUAACCAAACGACUGCCAGCUCGGCUGCCAUCGAUUUUCACGGAGCAGGACCCAGCCCUGGGUAAUAAAGUGUAAAAACACGAUUCCCCCAAAAGGAAUAGCACAAUGGGAUGACAAAAGUAGCGACCAGCAUGGAGUUGUUUCAUAUUCCUUUGCAUCCUUGACAUCCCCACCCCAUUGUGUGGCUGCAGUGCUGAUUUAGGGCUACAGGCAAAGAGCCCACGCUGGAGGGUGGGCUGAUCACCACCCAGAGAGAAAAAAUAAGUCAGUGAAUGUUUGUUGCAUUACUCUGAUAUUCUACUACUUCAGCUAUUCACAGUUUAUGAGCAGCUAUUUCCUUUUUCAGUCUGUUAUUUAAAACGAGAGCUCCUGUUAAAGCUGUGUGAAAUACAGAUUUCCUUUGGAUUUACUGCCUAAACAAAACGUAAUGCUUUGGAUGAACAUUUUUU